CCUACGGGAGGCAGCAGUGAGGAAUAUUGGUCAAUGGGCGCGAGCCUGAACCAGCCAAGUAGCGUGAAGGAUGACUGCCCUACGUGUUGUAAACUUCUUUUAUAAGGGAAUAACGUGAGGCACGUGUGCCUUUUUGUAUGUACUUUAUGAAUAAGGAUCGGCUAACUCCGUGCCAGCAGCCGCGGUAAUACGGAGGAUCCGAGCGUUAUCCGGAUUUAUUGGGUUUAACGGGAGCGUAGACGGGUUGGUAAGUCAGUUGUGAAAGUUUGCGGCUCAACCGUAAAAUUGCAAUUGCAACUGGCAGUGUUGAGUACAGUUGAGGUAGGGGGGAUUCGUGGUGUAGCGGUGAAAUGCUUAG
rnacentral:rRNA from 1 species